AGUUCAGCCUAGCUGGACCAACGAUACCCUCGCCCACCUGUCAUUAACGUGCUGAUGACUGGAUGUCAUGCUUACUCUAAGGCGUGGCUCGCAGACGCCUUUAUUUUUUUCUGUUUGUAAAGCAAUUCAAAAAGUAAUGCUUAUAGAAAUGACAUGUUUCAAUGAUGUCCACGCAGUAGCUUUUGUCUGUUAUGGGAUAUAAUGCAGAGCUUUUUCUGUUCGCGUCCCCGAUUCCUUAGAGAUUGCAGUAAGUCUCCCCUUCUGUGACUCGUGAUCUACUGCUCUUAUUCACGGACAUUGCUUCAUGUCGCAUGGGCAGGAAAUGACAUCACGGCAAGGGCUGCGUCACAUGACUUUUCCACAUCAGCCUGCCUGAGGUGGUUUUGCUCAUGGUGACAUUCCUGUAUCCUGUUGGGGGCCCCCAAGGUCAGUGGACCUGCUGGGCAUGUUUGUUUAGAUUCCCACCUCUGCCCUCUUUGUUUGGUCUUCUGUAGUGUUACCGUACGUCCAGGUUCCCCCCUGACACAUCCUCCUUUUUGGGCCCCCCGCCCGGACGGUUUUUCAAAAAUAGGGUUUGUCUGGGUUUAGCGCUGCAACCCGUAUGAUCCAGUGUUGCAAGUUACAGUGGAGAACUAAGUGAAGGAAAAGGCACCAAUGUUCACUGUACGGCAGCCGCUCAGUAUCGUCACAAGGCACCUGCACACGUUUAAAAAUCGAACAGUAUGCAUUACGUGUCAUCCUGUUCACGAGUGGCAGCUCCUGGAAACGACUGGCACUUUGACACUUUGUUUUUCGCGUGAAAAGUGAAUCGUGUUGUUUGCUUGAAGUUCAACAAACGUUAGCUUAGCAUUUUGAAACUUUGAUGGAAAAACACCUGUAUACAAGUAUAUUGAUUAUGCGUAAAAUUGUGUGUAGAUUAUAAAACGAGAGUUAAACUGUACGUCCGGGUUUCCCCAGACGAGAAUUCUCGUUUUACGGAGUGGUUAGGGAAAACUCAUUAAUAUUUAUAAGAACAGCAUUACAUGAUUGGCCGAUGACUGUGAAAUCUCAUUAACGCUCUGAUUCCCGAACGUGUCCUGGGUUCCGAUGUCCUGUUCACUCCUGUUCUGAACCUUGCAGCUCUCGACCUGGUCUCGGGUCGGGAGGCAUCCGCCCAAAGCUCCGGGUCAGUCCUCAGUAACAAGCGAGGAGUGAGAUUGCCCAUUCUACCUGAUGCAUGUUGUUUACAGAUAACGCUGUACUUGAUUGCAGGUUUGUUAUGACUGGCCCUGAAUAGGAGCAGUGUUACCUGAGGCCUGUAGAAAAAGAAAAUCUGUGAAAAAAGCAGGUAAAUUGAAGUUAGGCCACAAUGAUUAUUUAGGAACAGAAGUACCAAAGUCAGAGCUGUUAUAUGUAAUACGCUUUAAUACACAUGUAAUACACGGUCAGAAGAUGCUCCCGAUGUUCCUGGUCAGUUUCUGGUCCAACAUAGUCAUUGUACUGGCCUUAAAAUGGAACAGAAGUGGCAUUUGUAGCUCUAAUCUGACAUUCCCAGAAUGCACAAUGCUGAUUUAGUAUUUUGAGGAAAAUGCAAAAGUAUAAAUAGUACAGGUCAUUAACUGCUAAUUGAAUCACUUAAGCUGGGGGAAUGGACUGGAACAAGCAGCAGCUGACGAGUGGCAUCCGGUGAGCGCUCAGUGGGCUCACCCUACUUUUUCAGUCGGCGUAUGGAGUUGAUCAUCUGGGGAUCUUGGUGGGUGGGGUCACAGGUGUUGGCCGUCGUGACCUCUGACCUCUCGGGCGUCCAUCUUUGUUUCUUAAGUGGUUUGCUGUGAAGGCCGCUCACAUGAACCAUCCUUCAUCAAUGCAUCAAAGACCUAGACAGCAAAGCUCUUUUAUUAUCACAGAUGUAGCAGGUAAACCCCCUGGGAUAACUUAAAUUGUUUUAUUAUUUAAAGUUACCUUUCCAACUUAGCUCCUGUAGGGAGUUUUACAUAUUUAGGUCUAGGUCCAGUCCUGGUCCAGUGUAAGCUGCCACAGUCGUUCCUCUGGCUUCCUAGCUAAGUCUUUCCAGAACAGCGAUGUCGCUGUUCACUCACAGACAUGGAUGUGACCCAAUCUUGAACUCGCCGGCGUAGCACAUUAUGGGUGGUCUACACCGGGAGUGGAUCUGUAAAACACCAAAGCUGUGGUUUUGAUGCAUCGUAGCCUAAUCUUGUCCCAAAGUUUCUGUUUGUCUGGAAAUAUUACUGGUAAACACUGCCGUUGGCUUACGGUAGUGUGCCUCGUUCCCUGGAACAAGAAACAGGGUCAUUUUCUUACAUUUUUGUAGAAACAACAGCAGCAGCGGUUAAUUAGCGCUUUAUUAGUCAUGUCGGUAUUGGACCACCCUGAGGGAAUUCGCUCGAGGAUUUCUCGAAAACAUCCCGCCGUCCGAGUUCGCAUGUGCCUCUGAGUGCCUCUGAGUCAGAUUCAAAGUACCCGUAAUGUAAAACGUCAAACCGCUAAUAUAAUGCUGAAACGGGCGCAUUAAGGUAACAAUAGGUAUGACAAAUGUCUUAAUGUUAUUUCUGCAGUAUAGCUAAGAGUCAAGUUAAUUCUCUGUGGGAAAGGUACACUCAUCUCCACCAGGGGUCCCUGCCUUGGGCCUCCCCAUCCAAUUUUAUGUAUACGUUUAAAAACUCUAGGCUCCCCUGUAAAUUUCUGGGGCCUCUGAAUGUGCCAGACUAUCUGUGCUCCCCUGACCCCUCAGCCUCUGGUCACCUCACCACCACAUAAUAUUUUUAUUUAUGUGUUUGUUUGUUUUUAUGCUUAUUUUUUACUGAGAAAUAAGAGUCUGACGGUCAUUUGUGUACCUGGAACCUUAACUGAAUACUUGAGAUUCAUUUCCUUUAUACACACUGGAAACAUCUGCACAUAUGAGUCAUUUAAAGUUUACAUACAUUCAGAAGUGUUUGAACCUACAGCAAACUGCUUGGAACUGUGGGUAAUUAAGUGUGUGACUUUAGCCAGAGUGAGCGUGAGAUGAAAUGCGCGGGGAAAGAUGAAUACCGCACGUUAACUGCCCCCAUUAUCCUCCCCGGCGACGAGGCGUUCAGCGUUUUGCUUCUAUUGUGCUGCCUCCUUCAAACCGUGAUUAAGACCCGAUGUGUGAACCCUACAGAUUUUCCCUCUUUCUUCUUUGAUCCUGACAUCACAUGGAAUGAGCAAACAGCCGAAACAAACCUGAGUAAACCCCACCGAGAGGAGAAUGGAGGGGAUUGUUCAUUGGGAAAUGCCGGCAGACCGUGGAAUUAUGGGCACUCGGCAUGCCCAGCCUGGCAUGAAAAACACACGGAACACACAUUACCGGGGCUAUAAAUUAGGUUGGCAAGUAAUUUAGUGAAAGGUGAGUACUAACUAGGUGUUAACCGGCUGGCUAGUAAAAAUGUUACAUUUGUUACUGAACUGGCCCAGUAGACUAGUAGCAACUUUUCUCCUUUUCCAGCCCUGCAAGUAACACUCACAAACCUGCAGUCCUGACCUGUCCGGACAGUGGUCCCUAACCCCUCGUGUGGAUGACCCCAGGUGCCUCUCGUCUGCUCCCUCAUCUGUGGUGUAUAUAGUGCUGCCUCGUCUUGAGUCCGGUCAUUGUAGUGUUAUGUGAAGUGUUACGUGGACUGUCCUGCUGCUGACUGUGUGUACC